GGUCAGUUCCCGGACUGGCGGCUGGUCUGUAGGGUUGACCUACGCAAUGCAGAGGCUGCAGGUAGUGCUGGGCCACCUGAGGGGUCCGGCCGAUUCCGGCUGGAUGCCGCAGGCCGCGCCUUGCCUGAGCGGUGCCCCGCAGGCCUCGGCCGCGGACGUGGUGGUGGUGCACGGGCGGCGCACGGCCAUCUGCCGGGCGGGCCGCGGCGGCUUCAAGGACACCACCCCCGACGAGCUUCUCUCGGCAGUCAUGACCGCGGUUCUCAAGGACGUGAAUCUGAGGCCGGAACAGCUGGGGGACAUCUGUGUCGUUUCUCGUCUCCACCUUGCGAGAAAUACCCACAGGUGUGGAGGGGCAGGCCCUCUUCAGGCAAAACGGGGUGAACAGGGUGAUGGUGGGGAGAAGGUCAGCAGGAAAACAUCAACAUGGAGUUUCUUAUGUCUUCCUUUUCUACAUACACACGGUAACAAUCUGAUCUUUCUUUUCCCCACAACCUUCGGUCCAGCCCUCUAUUCCACCCCUCACCUUGAAAUAUAGCAACAUGAUAUGGCAAGAGUCUUAUCCAGCGGAUGCCAC
rnacentral:sRNA from 1 species